rnacentral:rRNA from 1 species
UACGUAGGGUGCGAGCGUUGUCCGGAAUUAUUGGGCGUAAAGAGCUCGUAGGCGGUCUGUCGCGUCGAUCGUGAAAACUUGGGGCUUAACCCUGAGCUUGCGGUCGAUACGGGCAUGACUGGAGUUCGGCAGGGGAGACUGGAAUUCCUGGUGUAGCGGUGAAAUGCGCAGAUAUCAGGAGGAACACCGGUGGCGAAGGCGGCUCUCUGGGCCUUACCUGACGCUGAGGAGCGAAAGCGUGGGUAGCGAACAGG